UGGAUGCGUGGCAGGACCAUAGUACAUUUGUGAUAAAAUUAUUGUAUGUAUGAUGUUGAGUGAUUUUUUUAAGCCCACAACCGGGAAACGUAGGACUCAGGACUCUGGGAGAAGCAUUCCCUCCAAUCAUAUCCCAACCCAUAAUGGAAGUCAGCCUGUGGAGUUUUUUGUGGAGAAAGUCCUUGGGAAGCGAUUCUUGGGUGGACGUCCUCAAGUUCUGGUUCAAUGGGUGGGCUUUCCGCGGUCGGAAACCACCUGGGAACCAAUGGAUAACAUGAAAGACUGUGCGGUGCAUGUUGCCAACUUUGAGACAACGCUUUUUGCACAGUCAAAUGGAAAACAAAGAGGUGGCGUGUAUAGAAGGUUUACUGUUCGUUUUUCGGAAAGGUCCAACGCCAAGAUGUCCCAAGCCCCAGGCAGCAGUAGUAAACCCACUGAGACUUGGAGCGCCGUAGAGUUUGUGGUUGAGAAGAUAUGUGGAAAGCGCUUCAAUUGCGGACGUCCCGAGCUUCUGGUAAAAUGGAUGGGAUUCCCAGAACAAGAUAACUCUUGGGAGCCCCUGGAGAACUUGGGCAACUGCAUACAAAUGGUCUGCGACUUCGAGGCGGAACUUUUCACCAAAACCUGCGGCAAAAGUUUAACGGUGGCCAUUCCCAGGGAUGUUCUAAACUUAUCGCCGAAGCCCCCCAUGGCUACAAGGUCCACAUUUAUGGCCAAUGCCAAGACUUCGAAACGUAAGCUCGAAUCCCCAAAAAAAAGACGUCAGUCAUCGGCGAGCAGCAGUAUUUCCAGCCAACCUGCAGCGAAAAAUUCGAGCUCCAAAAGCCAGACAAGGAGUGCUCCACCACUUUCAGUGUCAUUACUGAAUGAUUUGGACUUGAGCGAGCAGAGUGACGAUGAAGUUCUUGUAUCUACCCUGCAGAUGCUGCCGCCACUAAAGCCACCAGAGUCGGAUAAUCUGCGGAAUUCAGUUCCAGUGAAGGAAAGUUUAGAAAAAGAGAGGGAAACCUCUCCUAGGGAGAGAAACCUUUCUAGCUCCUCCUCAUCAUCGUGUUUGUUGUCUUCAACCGGAUCAGAAUCGGAUUCUACCCAGACGUCCAAAACCUCUAAUACUUCUAACGUGUCCAACACAUCAAUGACUCGUCAAGCGUCUCUGGCUCCCCCUCCUACAUCGAAGUGCCUUCCCCCAACUGAGAAGUCUCCAUCGCCGACCAAAUUACUUCCAUCUUCCCCCAAAACGGAAAAAGCAGAAGGCGAUUUGCUAAGUUCGCUGAAAAUGAAGGCUCGUCAGUGGGAUAGGUCGAAUCGGGUGGUCAAGAUGGGUGGAUUUUUAGAAGCCGGAAUGUUUAAGCCAGUAAACGACGUAACGAACGAAGCUGUGAAAAUAGAACCCCCAUCUCCGUCGAUACGAGCGCAAAAAAAUGCAUUUUUAAUUCCGAAAGAAGAGCCCAUUGGUUCAACAUUGAUGCGCGAACAGGUACAUGGCGAACCGUCUAAGCACGUGCAGUGGCCAAAGAAUUUGAAGAAUCCUAUGCACCGGAGAAUGAGUUAUGCUAUGAUGAAAGAGGAAGUGGCGUCACCUGACGUCUCCCAGACCAAAAACGAAGUCCAGAAACGCCGGAGGGUGACUAUUGGUCCCGGAAACUAUAAAGUUAAAAUUGAACCGCCAAGUCCAGCAACGCCGGCAAUGCCCGUAUCCACAAGCAGGUCCAUCAGAAUUAAUAGCAGCUCUGGCAGUUCCAGGAGAAGCCCAUCAAGGCCCGCUUGGAAGAUGUCCCCGUCGAAAAAGGCUACGGUCUAUGGCCUCAAACGAGGGUUGCCGUUGGACAAAGUCUUCCACCGCUUUCGUGUGAAAGAUAAAACGUUUCUUAUCGUCUUGUGGAAGGGUUGUUCGCAGCCGGACGCAGUGCUUCUGGACGAGAUACAAGACAUUUACCCUUUACAAGUUAUUCAGUAUUUUGAGGGCCUGAAGCUGCGAUAUGACGCUCUAUAAUGAUGGUGCUAGUACUGCUUCCGCUCCCGGGCAGCUUCUUCUUCAUAACUUUACAGUUCGACGCUCGCAAUAUUUGAGCCAUGAGCCAUGAAAACUUCACGUUGCCUUCGGGUCAAGAUAAAUGCCAUCGAAAAACGAAAAACAGAAAUGAAAACGAAGCAUCAUCCGGUCGGUGGAGCUGCUAUGUUGGAUUCGUUUCCCUGUACAUGCACCUGUACAUAUCUGCAUUUUCCUCUUCGCUUCUCCGUACGUACAUGGCCUGGCUUUGGCUCCAAACAAAAAAGUUCUCAUCAUAAAUCAAAUAAAAUACAACACCAGCUGGCAACGGGACGGGACGCUACGAAGUUCAGGGUCAACGCAUUUUUAUUGAGACCUUUGGCGGUAAACUCCAAUGGAUGAAUUAACUAAUUUUGUUUCUUUAUUUUUUGUUAUCUUUUGUUUCAUUAUUCUAUUGGACGGCAGAUCCCUCCAUAUAGUAACCAGCUAGAGAAGCUGUCAUAUCUUGAUCUAUAGUACUGGAUGCUUGAUAAGAUUGAGUCCAUCAUUAUGAAAUACGAUAUUUUUCUUUUUUUAAACUUUGAAUGUCAAUCAAAAGUUCUUAGAACGAAGGAAUUUUGUAUCGAGUUUCGAUAUCUGAUAUUUUGUAAGAAAUUUAACGAUGAAGCACGUGUAUUUUAUGUUUUUUCCACCGAAUAUUCAUUUUCAGUGUUCGAAAUAAAGUUUAAAUAUAACCAA